CGACCGGCGCACGGGUGAGUAACACGUAUGCAACCUGGCCGUGACAGAUGGAUAACCGGGAGAAAUCCCGCCUAAUACAGCAUGACGCCGGGAAGGGACAUCCCUUUCCGGCCAAAGGGGGCGACUCCGGUCACGGAUGGGCAUGCGGCGCAUUAGGUAGUUGGUGGGGCAACGGCCCACCGUGGCGACGAUGCGUAGGGGUUCUGAGAGGAAGGUCCCCCACACUGGUACUGAGACACGGACCAGACUCCUACGGAAGGCAGCAG
rnacentral:rRNA from 1 species